rnacentral:rRNA from 1 species
AUGAAAGUUGGAAAACAAACUCAAUCAGUCCAAGCACGGGGACAACAUACUUACGCUUCUAAGGAAGAAGAAAUUGCUGCAAAUGCGAAACGAUGGAUGAGCGAGGAGGCGAUGGUGGCUUUCACAAGAUACAUUGAGAGCAAAGAUGAUCUUAAGGGACUUGAUUAUGAAUUUGACGAGCUUGUCCAUCAAUGUCUUAAUGUGGAGGAUUAUUUAAAGAUAUUCCAUCACUUCAACUUUACUGUCAAGAUAAAGAAGCUUGGCUCAGCUGAUUGGAUGUCGGUGAUGUACUUCGCCGAGGUCAAAUCGAUAUGUAUGAUAAAACUCUAUGCCUGUUAUCCUUUGGGGCAAGAUCAAUAUGGUAAAUGUUAUGCCCGUGAGAACCAAGGAAUGGGUGAACUGAGGCACCCGUUAAAAGGGAUAUACGAUAUGGGCAGGGAAGAUAUACAACCUCCCUUCUAUUAUGAGGACAGUGACUCUGAUGAAUUCGAUCCAGCAACAGUCCGGAGUUUAUCUUCUGAUGAUGAUAUGAGUUGA